rnacentral:rRNA from 1 species
GACGAACGCUGGCGGCGUGCUUAACACAUGCAAGUCGAACGGAAAGGCCCUGCUCUUGUGGGGUGCUCGAGUGGCGAACGGGUGAGUAACACGUGAGUAACCUGCCCUUGACUUUGGGAUAACUUCAGGAAACUGGGGCUAAUACCGGAUAGGAGCUCCUGCUGCAUGGUGGGGGUUGGAAAGUUUCGGCGGUUGGGGAUGGACUCGCGGCUUAUCAGCCUGUUGGUGGGGUAGUGGCUUACCAAGGCUUUGACGGGUAGCCGGCCUGAGAGGGUGACCGGCCACAUUGGGGCUGAGAUACGGCCCAGACUCCUACGGGAGGCAGCAGUGGGGAAUAUUGCACAAUGGGCGGAAGCCUGAUGCAGCAACGCCGCGUGCGGGAUGACGGCCUUCGGGUUGUAAACCGCUUUCGCCUGUGACGAAGCGUGAGUGACGGUAAUGGGUAAAGAAGCACCGGCUAACUACGUG